rnacentral:misc_RNA from 1 species
CCCGGUUUGUCACCGGCAGUCUCGCAUGAGUCCCCAACUUAAUGCUGGCAACAUGCGACGGGGGUUGCGCUCGUUGCGGGACUUAACCCAACAUCUCACGACACGAGCUGACGACAACCAUGCACCACCUGUCACCGCUGUCCCGAAGGGAAGCUCCAUCUCUGGAGCGGUCAGCGGGAUGUCAAGCCCUGGUAAGGUUCUUCGCGUUGCUUCGAAUUAAACCACAUGCUCCACCGCUUGUGCGGGCCCCCGUCAAUUCCUUUGAGUUUCAGCCUUGCGGCCGUACUCCCCAGGCGGAGUGCUUAAUGGGUUACCUUCGGCACUGAGGGGGGAACCCCCCAACACCUAGCACUCAUCGUUUACGGCGUGGACUAC